UCGAACGGCAGCACGGAGCUUGCUCUGGUGGCGAGUGGCGAACGGGUGAGUAAUAUAUCGGAACGUACCCUAGAGUGGGGGAUAACGUAGCGAAAGUUACGCUAAUACCGCAUACGAUCUAAGGAUGAAAGUGGGGGAUCGCAAGACCUCAUGCUCGUGGAGCGGCCGAUAUCUGAUUAGCUAGUUGGUAGGGUAAAAGCCUACCAAGGCAUCGAUCAGUAGCUGGUCUGAGAGGACGACCAGCCACACUGGAACUGAGACACGGUCCAGACUCCUACGGGAGGCAGCAGUGGGGAAUUUUGGACAAUGGGCGAAAGCCUGAUCCAGCAAUGCCGCGUGAGUGAAGAAGGCCUUCGGGUUGUAAAGCUCUUUUGUCAGGGAAGAAACGGUGAGAGCUAAUAUCUCUUGCUAAUGACGGUACCUGAAGAAUAAGCACCGGCUAACUACGUGCCAGCAGCCGCGGUAAUACGUAGGGUGCAAGCGUUAAUCGGAAUUACUGGGCGUAAAGCGUGCGCAGGCGGUUUUGUAAGUCUGAUGUGAAAUCCCCGGGCUCAACCUGGGAAUUGCAUUGGAGACUGCAAGGCUAGAAUCUGGCAGAGGGGGGUAGAAUUCCACGUGUAGCAGUGAAAUGCGUAGAUAUGUGGAGGAACACCGAUGGCGAAGGCAGCCCCCUGGGUCAAGAUUGACGCUCAUGCACGAAAGCGUGGGGAGCAAACAGGAUUAGAUACCCUGGUAGUCCACGCCCUAAACGAUGUCUACUAGUUGUCGGGUCUUAAUUGACUUGGUAACGCAGCUAACGCGUGAAGUAGACCGCCUGGGGAGUACGGUCGCAAGAUUAAAACUCAAGGAAUUGACGGGGACCCGCACAAGCGGUGGAUGAUGU
rnacentral:rRNA from 1 species